rnacentral:rRNA from 1 species
CCUACGGGCGGCAGCAGUGGGGAAUAUUGGACAAUGGGGGCAACCCUGAUCCAGCCAUGCCGCGUGUGUGAAGAAGGCCCUCGGGUUGUAAAGCACUUUCAGUGAGGAAGAACGCCUGGUGGUUAAUACCCAUCAGGAAAGACAUCACUCACAGAAGAAGCACCGGCUAACUCCGUGCCAGCAGCCGCGGUAAUACGGAGGGUGCGAGCGUUAAUCGGAAUUACUGGGCGUAAAGCGCGCGUAGGUGGCUUGAUAAGCCGGUUGUGAAAGCCCCGGGCUCAACCUGGGAACGGCAUCCGGAACUGUCAAGCUAGAGCGCAGGAGAGGAAGGUAGAAUUCCCGGUGUAGCGGUGAAAUGCGUAGAGAUCGGGAGGAAUACCAGUGGCGAAGGCGGCCUUCUGGACUGACACUGACACUGAGGUGCGAAAGCGUGGGUAGCAAACAGGAUUAGAUACCCCAGUAGUC